AGUGCUCCGGAAUGAGUCUCACGCUGCAUCGCGGAAGCCCCGCUCCGGUUUUUCACUGGAUAAACAGCAUUUCUCACCCAGCGUCACCUGCUAUCAAGGCUGCUCGCCCCACCUGCUCACCAACAUGCACCACCGUGCAGACCCAGAAAGGCGCCGCCGGUGCUCAGACCCAGGCGACGACGACGAGGACCGCACCGAUAAUAUCAGCCUCCCCUUAAGACUUGCAUCCCAGGAAAGCAGACAUCUUGUCCCUGGAGUUCACCUUUGCAUGUCCAGGACCCACCAUAAUUGGCAGGUGCGUCUGAGAUCAUCUCAUUUCUCCAGUCUCCGGAGCGCCUGCCACAGUCUUUUAACCACGGCACAGGUGUCGGGGGAAGAUGACAACUCCAGGUGCCCUCUGACGUGGAUGUCCUGGAGAAGCCAGCAGAGCCUGCGGUUUGUCGUGUGUACAUGGUGAACAGGAGGCCCAGACUGCAUCCCAGUGCUUUAUGAUGUCCACCAGCGAACAGACAGUUAGAAGGCAGGGCCAGAUCUCCUUGGCUCUCAGAUCUUGGGUGCAUAAGCUUCCUUCUGGCCUCGGUUUCCUGUUCACCUCAGCAAGAGACUUGGGCAGGCAGAUUUCAAAAGUCCUUUCUCCCCACUCUGAACUUUGGAAACAAAAUUUUGAUGAAGCGACAUUUUGAUAAAAGAAUAUGUACAAAUCCUCCCCUGUCACCGAUACUGACAAUACCAGUUCCUGCUUUAGGACCCCAGCUGCCUUCCAGGUACUUUACUGCUACCUUGUUCUUAGCCCCCAUGGUGGCCACAGGGAAAGGCAGUCCCUGCUUAGUGGUUAGGGGUCCUGAGGCUCUGGCCAGGUUAGUCUGCUUCCUCCAAGUCAUACUGCUAUUAAAUGGCACUGCGAGGAUGUCAUUCCAGCCCUGUCCCUGCUUCUGUGUCACACUGUUUCAUUAAAUUCCUCCUGAGUCAACUCUCAAAUGAGCAGCAGCCAGAUAAGAACCACACCCAGAAACCCCCAUCACCUCCCUCAGGACCAACACCUCAUUGAGGAUGCUGACUGCUCAGCUCGGCCCACAGGCCUUUGGUCACGGUGGUCAGUGGCUCCAUCUUUGUGACAUUCUCUCUUUAUCUCCCCAGGCCAGUACCUCUUCUCAUACCUGCUCCUCUCAGUCACCCUCCAUGCCUCUUAGGGUUGUAAACACCCUUCCAGUGGCUGAAAAUCAAGACACAACCUCUUAGUAUGACCUUGAGUAGCUCGUUGACCUUCAUGGAAGAUGGAAUGACAGAGGAAUAAUGGCCCCGUCCUACUCCUCUGUAGGUUGUAUUUGGGGCCUAAACAAGCCACAGGUGUGUUGUCUUCUGCAGCCUCUACCAUGCAAUGUAAAUGUCAAGUUCAUCACUAUUCCAAACUCCUUUCAAGGAAUGAUGACUUUUCCCCACUGCCACCCCAAUCCAUGGAAAAGCUAACAACGUUGCCAGCACCUGUCCAACCCAGAGGGAGGGUAGCAUUGAGGCUGAGCUCCAGGCUGGCCAUGGGGUCAAAACUGGCCUCCACAUGUCAGCUUGGUUGACAUAGGAAAGCUACUUUCCUAAUCUGUAAAAUGGCGUAAUCAUGGUACCAUCUCAGAGGACUGUAAAGGGGUAAGUGAAUCCAUACCGCAGGUUCAGACCAGUGCCUUGCACACAGUAAAUGCCAGGCCUCAUGACCAGCCUUCCCUGGGACCCCAUGUCAGCCCAGACCCUGCCCCACCUCUGGGUCGCGCUCUUCCCAACCCUUUCCAGUUUGCCGCUCCACCCCAGGCACUCUGCAUGCUCCUGGGGCAGCCUCAUUCACUCAGGAAGAUGUCAGUAAGUUGGAUGUGGGGUAACAUCUAAAGUGUCUCUACCAACCUGGCCUUUGUCCAAGCCCAGCCCUGCCUCAUGGACUCAUCGACCUUGAUGGGGGCCUGACCCCAGAUGCUUCCUGGUCUUCUCCUCACAAUCUGCAAUCCUGGUGGUACAGGGGUUUGAACCUGGGGCCACCCUACCAUUGAGCUUCAUCCCCAGCCUUUUAUAUUUUGUGACAGGGUCUCACCAAGUUAUUAAGGCUGGCCUUGAAUUUGUGAUCCUCGAACCUCAGCCUCCUAAGUCUCUGGAGUUUCAGGCAUGCACCACCAAGCCCAGCCUCCAGUGCACAUUUCUUGACUCAUCUGCCUGGCAAAUUAAGCCCCUCCCUGUGUUUGGGGAAACUCCCUCCCUUACUCUUGCAAGUCUGGGUAUGAUGCAAAACUGGCACCCCUGCACAGAGAUGAAGGCCGGUCACUGACCACGCCUCCUUCCUCCUGGCCUGGGCCCCAAUGACUUGUCGUCGUUAAUAGCAACCUAAAACCACUCAUAAGACUUCAUCUGCCCUGGUUUGAUCUUCCAUACCCAGAAGAACCUGACAUCUGUGCAAUUAGCAAGUGAAGGAGGUAGAAAUGAUUUUAAUCAAUGUGUUGAACCAUGAGCACAGCCUGCCCGCAACCCAUCAACAUCUAAACCUUGCGCAGAGGAGAAAGCGCCACCAGGAUGCUGGCAUCUUCCAGAAAGAAGUGACUGUAAAUGAGAUGACCCCAGGUAAAGCACCCGGCACAGAGCCUGCCCGGAGCAGGAGAGGCAGGCCAGGGAGCUUCUCAGAGCCACUGUGUCCCACAUGCAAGAUUCGGCCCGCGACUGAUCCUGAGAGCCAUAGACCUGGGUGGUGGGAACACUUGCUGCCCUGCCUCUCCUGAUGGCAGGCAUCUGGGAUGUCCACACUCAGCAGCCCCCUCAGGCUCCCGGACCUGAGGAGUUCCACUCAUUCUGGGCCACCACUGGGGUGUGGAUGUGGUUUGUGUGUGUCCCCCAGUGGUUUGGUUCCCAGUGUGGUAACGUUGAGAUGUAGAAGCUUUCGGGCUCAGGGCCUGGUGGAGGUCAUGGGGGAAGCUGCCUCUGAAGGGGUUAAGGCCGUUCUGUCUCUCUAUGACUCUGAAGCUCUAGGGACCUCAUACAACUGAAAUCACCCAGGGAUCCUUUUGCAACUCAAAGUUUGUCCAUACUGUAGCAUCGUCAGAAUGCCCUUCCUUUUAAAGCCUGACUAAUAUUCCAUUGUAUGGAUGUUUUCUCACAUUGUUUAUCUGUUCCUCUGUCCAGGCACUUGGGCUGCUUCCACUUUUUGGUUAUUGGGAAUAAAGCUCCUAUGCUUCAUUUUU